GACCCAAGAGGUUAAGAGAGUUAAGCGUGCUAGGACGGGAGUAGUCCUAGGAUGGGUGACACCCUGGGAAGUCGGGGUGUCACAGAUGGUAUCAGAGCCAAUUACCAGCCGGAAGUGUGAGAUAAGUCUCGGCUGAGCCAGGGUCUGGAUGACGGGCUAGCGAGAUGAGUCUCACAUCGCCUGGUACUUGUGAGUCUGAGCCUUACGAGGACGUCAGGGCUUAAAAGGAGGGGAGAUUGUGAGACCCCAGAUGGUCCUAUAUAUAAGAUAUAAUAUGGCUAAACUCUUAACCCGGCUUAAGCAUUUUGGGUGGUUGCAAGACCCAAGAGGUUAAGAGAGUUAAGCGUGCUAGGACGGGAGUAGUCCUAGGAUGGGUGACACCCUGGGAAGUCGGGGUGUCACA
rnacentral:lncRNA from 1 species